UUCUCCCGUGGUGUAUUAUGACCAUUUUUAUUUGCGGCCGUUUUAACUCUCUUGCAUAAUAACACACACAAGAACAAGUGAAUGUCAUCAUGCCUUGGCGAAAAUUUCUAGGAAUAUUUCUUACAGAUCCAAGAGUAAUUCAAAAGAUUGCAGAUAGCUGGCCUGUCAGGAAAGCAGCUAGAAAUGCAGUGUACUUGUUUUUAAGAGGUAAGGAUCAAUUCAAAGAUGCAAUAGACAAGAAACAGCUGCCGACAAACACAGAAUUAAGGACUUCUCUAUUAAGAAUCAAAGACACCGUUUCGAAAGAAGUCAAGCAAGGCUUUAAAGAACUUUCCAAAGGCAAGAAAGAUCCCAAAACACGCAGAUGACAAACAUCAGAUUGUGUUGCGUCUGUGAUACAAGUUGAGCAGAAUACCAAUGACCUGGGAUUCUGUGCUUAGAAUGUGCCUGAAAAUGCUAAUUGCUAACUUUUGUAAAUAAUGUUUAUAUAAAUCAUAUUCUAAUUGUCUUGCCUAAUUUAAGAUGCCAGGAUAUAUAGGAAUGGUUAUGUUGCUGUGUCUCUCUAUCAGUUGAUUGUUAGACGAAUUUUACUUCGAUGAAUUUUAUUUAGACUCUACUAGUCCAUCAAUAUUCGUCAGAUCUUCACGAAAUGUCACCAUCUUUGUGAGCAUAAAAUCUAAACCAGAUUGGACUUUCAAUCAAAAUGGGUCACAAUUGUAUUUUUUUUCCUUUUUCCGUUCGAUAUAUUUUAUUAUCCUCGUACAUAGGUGUGAGGUUCGAGGCAUCCCACUCCACACUGUACAUGAUUUUCAAGCAAUGUGUACAUACUUAAACAACUUUUAAACAUUUGAUUAUCAGUAACUUCUACAUAAUAAUACAAACAAUAUUGGUUUAGCAAAUAAUUGACAAUACAUGAAAUCUAAAUUCCUUAUCACGGCUACUGCAAAAGAGCUAACAAUAGUUCCAUAUCUUUACUUUGAUGCAAAUCGUUUACAUUGUUAAUUUCAUUUAAUACACGGUAAUGCAAGGACAGGUAUGAUUUAGCUGCUUUAAUAGAGGGUAUAGUUUUGUUCAUUUUACAAUUGUAAAUAAACAUUUUGAUCAAAACAAAUAUACAGUUUAAGGGUCCAUUGCAUUUGCAUGUCCCAAUAGAAAGAAAGGUAUUUUCAGGCAAUUUGAAUCAAGAUUGCAUCUAGAAAACAAAUCUGUUAUCAACUUAUUUACAUGCUUACAUUCCCCAAAAAUAUGUUCUAUCCUUUCACAUUCAGUUUGACAAAAGGUGCUGUUUGCUGUAGGUGCAUAUCAAAUUUUGAAUAAGAAGGAGUUCGUACCUAUGAUUCAGUGUUAUAUUAUUUAUAUUGAAACCAUUGUAAAUUGGCAUCUGGUGUAAUAUGAAAAGGCAUAGAAAAGAUAUGUAACCAAUCUUUUGUUUCAAUACAAUUACAAAUAGUUGACCAUUUAUUUAAACAUGCUGGUGAUGACUCAUUUUUGGUAAAAAUAUCAUACAUUGGUUUUGUACCCUUUGUUUUAACUAAGAUAGACCGUAGACUUGUCGAGAUAAACGGCUUCAUAAAGCAGUUGUCAGUAGAACCUCUCAGUUUCUUGUAUCUUGUAACUGAAUUAAUAAUGCCUUGGAAAAGCAAAUAAUUUGGUUUGAAGUUGUAAACUUGGCAAAAGUCAUUACAAUUGUAAAAAGUUAAGAGUUCACAAGAGGGUCACAAAUAAUUCAUAUUUCGCCUUUGAAUCAUCUUGAAUAUCUAAGCGGGUAUGGUCUGUUGAAUUAUUUUCAACAAAAAUCACUGAAAAUGUUCAUUUAGUAGCCCAGUUAGUUAAAUUGUUUUGUUUUUUCAUAAAAAUUAUCCAAAAGGUUUGCUUUGAAGGUAUUUAUAUUAUUAUGAGAAUAUUAACAAUUUGAUUUGUCUUGAAUUAGCAGUAAAUCAAUGGCCGCUAUGCAUGUGUACAUGUAUCUAUUUUUAUGGAAACUUCACUAGUUCUUAAGUUGAUAAUUGGUAUGUUUAUACUUUAUUUUAGGUUUCGUUAAACCAGAACGGAAGCUUUUAUGUUUUACAAACAGCUGCUUGUAAAGUAUUAAAAGGAGUGAAUCGAUGGCAAGAACCACUUUAUAUUUUCAACAUAUAAAUUAUAUUUAUGGACUGACUAUGUGUGCUACAUGUAAACAUACUUGAAAAAUGUCUUUGUUACACUUUUCUCAAAAUAAGUGGUAGCAAAAAUAUCAAUAUGAAUAAAAUGUACAUGAAGUGCUGCUAUGCUCAUGUGUACUUUUGAUAACUGCGUUGUAGUUUUUGAAAGUUUUUAUUUAACAUUUUUUUCUUGAUUAAAAAUCCUUGUUGAACAGUAUAUUGAAUUAAAACUUACAUGUUAAUAAUAUAUUAACGAACACGGAAUAUUUCAUGUUUAUGAAUGUGGAUGUUUAUGCAAAAAACUGUUCCUACGCCAAUGAACAAUAUGUUAAAAACCAAAUAAAACUUGGGGUUUAAUUGAUGACUGAUAUGAAUUUGAAUGUGUAACAAGUAACUUAUAUAAUA